CUACGGGGGGCUGCAGUGGGGAAUUUUGGACAAUGGGCGAAAGCCUGAUCCAGCCAUUCCGCGUGAGUGAUGAAGGCCUUCGGGUUGUAAAGCUCUUUCGGCCGGGAAGAAAUCGUGCAGGCUAAUAUCCUGCAUGGAUGACGGUACCGGACCAAGAAGCACCGGCUAACUACGUGCCAGCAGCCGCGGUAAUACGUAGGGUGCGAGCGUUAAUCGGAAUUACUGGGCGUAAAGCGUGCGCAGGCGGAUGUUUAAGCCAGAUGUGAAAUCCCCGGGCUUAACCUGGGAAUGGCAUUUGGAACUGGACAUCUAGAGUGUGUCAGAGGGGGGUGGAAUUCCACGUGUAGCAGUGAAAUGCGUAGAGAUGUGGAGGAACACCGAUGGCGAAGGCAGCCCCCUGGGAUAACACUGACGCUCAUGCACGAAAGCGUGGGGAGCAAACAGGAUUAGAUACCCCGGUAGUC
rnacentral:rRNA from 1 species